UACGAAGGGGGCUAGCGUUGCUCGGAAUCACUGGGCGUAAAGGGCGCGUAGGCGGCCGAUUAAGUCGGGGGUGAAAGCCUGUGGCUCAACCACAGAAUUGCCUUCGAUACUGGUUGGCUUGAGACCGGAAGAGGACAGCGGAACUGCGAGUGUAGAGGUGAAAUUCGUAGAUAUUCGCAAGAACACCAGUGGCGAAGGCGGCUCACUGGCCCGGUACUGACGCUGAGGCACGAAAGCGUGGGGAGCAAACAGG
rnacentral:rRNA from 1 species